CCUACGGGUGGCUGCAGUGGGGAAUAUUGCACAAUGGGGGCAACCCUGAUGCAGCGACGCCGCGUGAGUGAAGAAGUAUUUCGGUAUGUAAAGCUCUAUCAGCAGGGAAGAAAAUGACGGUACCUGAUUAAGAAGCCCCGGCAAAUUACGUGCCCGCAGCCGCGGUAAUACGUAGGGGGCAGGCGUUUUCCGGAUUUUCUGGGUGUAAAGGGAGCGUAGACGGAAGAACACGUCUGGGGUGAAUGCCCGGGCUUAACCCCGGAACUGCUUUUGAAACUGUGCAGCUAGAGUGCAGGAGAGGUAAGUGGAAUUCCUAGUGUAGCGGUGAAAUGCGUAGAUAUUAGGAGGAACACCAGUGGCGAAGGCGGCUUACUGGACUGUAACUGACGUUGAGGCUCGAAAGCGUGGGGAGCAAACAGGAUUAGAUACCCUGGUAGUC
rnacentral:rRNA from 1 species